rnacentral:tRNA from 1 species
GGGGAUAUAGCUUAAUGGUUCAGUGCUUGUCUGGCAUGUGUGAGGCCCUGGGUUCAAUUCCCAGAAUCUCAA